UACGAAGGGUGCAACCGUUGCUCGGAAUUAUUGGGCGUAAAGCGCACGUAGGCGGCUCUGUAUGUUGGAUGUGAAAACCCUCGGCUCAACCAAGGAAGUGCAUCCAAAACUGCGGAGCUUGAGUACUUAAGAGGAUCGCGGAAUUCCCGGUGUAGAGGUGAAAUUCGUAGAUAUCGGGAGGAACACCAGUGGCGAAGGCGGCUCACUGGUCCGGUACUGACGCUGAGGUGCGAAAGCGUGGGGAGCAAACAGG
rnacentral:rRNA from 1 species